GUCGGAUAUUCUGGUCUGAUCUCAUUGAUUGUCAUUUUCAUUUUGGUACUUGGAAGAUAAUUCACAUGCAUCAUCUUAUUUCAAUUAUUUACACUCCCUCAUGAUAUUAGUUGCCUCUCUAAACAUUUUUCUUUAAUAUAUUAGCAUGUCAUGGAAUAGUAAUAUAUAAUCUUCUAAACUUGAUCUAGUACAUGUCUAAUACCCAAUGGUUUUAAUCUUGGCAGAUGACUAUCAAUUACAUGAAU
rnacentral:misc_RNA from 1 species